CCUACGGGAGGCAGCAGUGGGGAAUCUUGCGCAAUGGGCGAAAGCCUGACGCAGCCAUGCCGCGUGAAUGAUGAAGGUCUUAGGAUUGUAAAAUUCUUUCACCGGGGACGAUAAUGACGGUACCCGGAGAAGAAGCCCCGGCUAACUUCGUGCCAGCAGCCGCGGUAAUACGAAGGGGGCUAGCGUUGCUCGGAAUUACUGGGCGUAAAGGGAGCGUAGGCGGAUAGUUUAGUCAGAGGUGAAAGCCCAGGGCUCAACCUUGGAAUUGCCUUUGAUACUGGCUAUCUUGAGUACGGAAGAGGUAUGUGGAACUCCGAGUGUAGAGGUGAAAUUCGUAGAUAUUCGGAAGAACACCAGUGGCGAAGGCGACAUACUGGUCCGUUACUGACGCUGAGGCUCGAAAGCGUGGGGAGCAAACAGGAUUAGAUACCCUAGUAGUCCACGCUGUAAACGAUGAGUGCUAGUUGUCGGCAGCAUGCUGUCGGUGACGCGAGCUACGACAUAAGUACACUCCGCCGUCGGGUAGGUACGGUCGCGAGAAUUAAACUACAAUAGAGUAGACGGCGUGAGACGUCGCCGACGGACGACGACGAGGGAGGAGG
rnacentral:rRNA from 1 species